GGGAUUAGCUUUAAAAAAAAUAUCUCAACACGCAUACACACACAGAGGAGGCAGGAGAUAGCGGUUGUGUCCAGAUGAGGCUCGGAGCAGGACCUCGUUCCCCCCCCCAUCAGCUCAGAAAUAGAACCGUGUCUGAGCAGCGAAGUUGCAGCAGCAUCAGACGGACGCUCCGUUUCCUCCCUGCUUUGUGGGAACGGGAAGCAGCAGCAUUGUGUUGGAGCUGACUGUGGUUUAAUCAUUAAUGAGCACUAACAGUCGGUACAGGACAGGCAUGACCUACAGCCUGGGACACACACAAGACGGUGGGUUGCAGUUUGGUAGAAGCGGCGUGGCAAAGCGCACCAAACGGCAGGAAGAAAGGAAGACUUGGGACCGGAAAAGGAGACUGGAAACUGUUUGCUUAAUGAAAACUGGGAGUCUGUCCGGUUAGAAGCAGAAGUGUAUGCGAGAGAGAGAGAGAGAGAGAGAGAGAGAGAGAGAGAGAGAGAGAGAGAGAGAGAGAGAAAGAGACAGAGAAGGAUAGACACAUAAAGGGAUAAUAGAAGGACA